GUAGGUGGCAAGCGUUGUCCGGAUUUACUGGGUGUAAAGGGCGUGCAGCCGGGACUGCAAGUCAGAUGUGAAAUCCGCGGGCUUAACCCGCGAACUGCAUUUGAAACUGCGGAUCUUGAGUACCGGAGAGGUUAUCGGAAUUCCUUGUGUAGCGGUGAAAUGCGUAGAUAUAAGGAAGAACACCAGUGGCGAAGGCGGAUAACUGGACGGCAACUGACGGUGAGGCGCGAAAGCGUGGGGAGCAAA
rnacentral:rRNA from 1 species